UGUGUGUCUGUGCAUGCCUCCGUGUGUGCGUCUGCGCACAGGUGCAUGUCUGUGUGUGUCCGUGCCUGUCUGCGUGAGUGCGUGUCUGUGCACGCGUGUGUGUCUGCAUGCAUCCAUGUGUCUGUACAUGUAUGUCUCCAUGUGUGGUGUGGAGGACACAGAAGGAUGGAGGGAAAGGCACCACUGAUAGUCCUGGUCGCAGACAGACAUCUCCUGGAGCUGCCACUGGAAGGUCUCUCUGUGUUCGAUGAAGGGACAAUUUCCUCUGUGUCAAGAGAAUUUUCUCUUCAAAUGCUGUGGAAUCGCCUCCAUAAAGAAGAGACAGGUAGGAACUGCCCUCAGCCACCUUAAUGUGUAAUUUUAAAAUGGAAAUAUUUAAAUUAUUUUUCAGAUGAAACGUUAGCUCCUAUCAAAAAAUAAUCAUCAAAUUUUGCAACAUUUUUCUAGGCAUUUAUUCAUUCAAAGAUAUUUGUAG
rnacentral:lncRNA from 1 species